CAGGUGGGGGCUGGCCCCCAUGGGUUUCCUUUCUCACAUCCCUACCAGGCAGGCUCAGGAAUCCCCAGCCUGCACUGUACUUUUUAAAGGGCCCCAGAUCCUGGAGAGAGUGUCUGGGUGCUGGAGACCAAGACUCCAGAGGGGAGGGAACCUGAUUCACAGGCCCCAGCUCCUAGGGUUCCUGCAGGAGAAUGAGAUCCCAGGGAGGGGCCCCAAAGGAGCCUCAGGCAAGUAGUUCAGGGUUUCAUGGUGCUAUCUGUGGGGCAGGGGACAGGGAGCCAUCUGCAGGGCACUCCUGUCCUUUCCCAGCCUGCCUGGUUGGACUGCCCCACCAGGAGACACAUGUAUCUAUGUCUGCUCCCCAAAGCCCACAUGAGGCCUCCUCUCCUCUCGGGGCCAGGCCACUACCGCCACUCGCUGGACCCUGGUGCCUCUUGCAUUGUGCAGAGCCUGGGGCGCCAUGGCACAGCCAGGGAGAGAAGCUGGCACGGGGGCAGGGAGCUCAGCCAGUGCCCGGUGUUUGCCCUUGGGGGGCAGGCAGUAGUAGUUCACCCCUCUCUGUUGUCAUUUAAUGUCCUUGUUCCUGCGUUUAAUGGGAGGAAGGUUCCAUUCGCUCGUUUCCUGGUUUUGAUCUCCCACUGUUUAUAAGCUUCUGUUUGUUACACUCUGCACCUUACUCCCUCCCCGCCACUCCCUGCCACUCCCAGCAUGGCCACGCUGGGAAGAGGCCUGUGCCCAAUGGGGCUGGCAGAGGGUGCUGAACCCCUUGACCUCCUCAGAGGCUGAUGGAGCUGGUACAGUGGGCUGGGGACAUUUUAAUCAUCAAUAAACGAAGCACUUUAUUCUGUACAGGUGUGGGCAGGCCCAAGGCGCUCGGCGGAGUUGGCUGUCUUCUGGGCGAGGAGGCACUGAACGAGCAGUUAUCCCUGGAUAGGCACCCUUUCUUAGCCUGAGGAGCCAGGCUGCAAGUGUGCCCUCAGCCCCUCCCCCGUGUCCACUGGGGAGACCCUGUCCCAUUUGCCUCCACACUCCUGCCCCACUGCCCAAGGUUGGGCUUCAAGCUCCUCCAGUGUAGUUCUUCCUCCAGCGGUACCCUUAACCUCUGGGCUUCCAUGAUGUCCUCAGGGACCCUUCCUGCUAUUUCUAACCUCUGGCCCCAGUGCCUGGCAGCUCUCCAGAGCUGGCUAACAUUUUCCAAAAAAUAAUAAUAAAAGAAAAGGAAUGAAAGAGUU
rnacentral:lncRNA from 1 species